rnacentral:rRNA from 1 species
AGUGAACGCUGGCGGUAGGCCUAACACAUGCAAGUCGAACGGCAGCACAGUAAGAGCUUGCUCUUACGGGUGGCGAGUGGCGGACGGGUGAGGAAUACAUCGGAAUCUACUUUUUCGUGGGGGAUAACGUAGGGAAACUUACGCUAAUACCGCAUACGACCUACGGGUGAAAGCAGUGGAUCUUCGGACCUUGCGCGAUUGAAUGAGCCGAUGUCGGAUUAGCUAGUUGGCGGGGUAAAGGCCCACCAAGGCGACGAUCCGUAGCUGGUCUGAGAGGAUGAUCAGCCACACUGGAACUGAGACACGGUCCAGACUCCUACGGGAGGCAGCAGUGGGGAAUAUUGGACAAUGGGCGCAAGCCUGAUCCAGCCAUGCCGCGUGAGUGAAGAAGGCCUUCGGGUUGUAAAGCCCUUUUGUUGGGAAAGAAAAGCAGCAGGUUAAUACCCCGCUGUUCUGACGGUACCCAAAGAAUAAGCACCGGCUAACUUCGUG